CUUGUUUAGGUAAAACAAAGUAUCUUCAAUAGAAGUUUCCAUCGACAUCUUGAGUCAUCCUCCUUGAAAUUUAUUUAUUUAUUUUAUGUAUAUUUUUCUUUUUACCUGUUUCAUUUGGGUUGAUGGUUGGGGCUGGGUGAGAGAGAAGGAAGAAAGAAUAAGAUAACUCUUGUUGGCAUUCCAACACGAGGAUGCUACUUAGGACCAAUAAUCAGGCUGGGUUGAGCUAUGCAAGGUUAGUCCAGCCUGAAGUAUAUGUACUCUGUGCAUGUCUCAAGUUCAGCCCAUAGAUGUCAACCAUUCUAUUGUACAGGCUUCAGGCCAAGUUCAAGCCAUCUUGAAUAGAUAGAUAAUAGUAGAAUAGAGAAAUGAGUAUCUUAAUGCCUCAUUUUUCAUGCCAGCCUUUGCCUAGCCGAAGCCCAAAUAUGGGCAAAGCUAUGCUGAGCUCAAGCUCACUUAAAGCAAGUCAAACCCAAUUAUCAAUACUAUUACUACUAUGAGGCUCUUGUGUGGUCAUUUUGCAACCAUUCGUGGCCAUCUUGGCGACGGCUUGGACUACGCUGCCUUCACAUGCCCUCAAGGCAUGCAUUGGACAUUGUGGUGGAUGCAGUCAGGUAUUACUUUGCAGAGUGAUCUCUGGGCCAUUUGACCACACAUGGCUCUCCUACAGGCUUCUUUCAAAGCUCGAGGGGAUUGAGACAAGGGGACCCUAUUUUCCCCUACUUGUUUGUGAUUGCUAUGGAGGCCCUUAGUAGAUUGUUCUUCAAAGCUUGGGAUGAUGGUUUUAUUUCAGGAUUCAAGGUUGGGGGAAGA
rnacentral:lncRNA from 1 species